rnacentral:rRNA from 1 species
GAUGAACGCUAGCGAUAGGCUUAACACAUGCAAGUCGAGGGGUAACGUGUUGGAAGCUUGCUUCCGAUGACGGCGACCGGCGGGUGGGUGAGUAACGCGUAUGCAACUUGCCUCACAGUGGAGACUAACCCGGAGAAAUCCGGACUAAUACUCCAUACACUCUUAAGUACGUCUGUACAUGAGAGGAGAGAUUGAUUGAUGUGAGAGAGGCAUGCGUCCUAUUAGGUAGUUGGUGAGGUAACGGCGCAGCAAGGCGACGAUAGGUAGGGGUGCUGAGAGGGAGAUCCCCCGCGAUGGGACUGAGACACAGCCCAAACUCGUACGGGCGGCAGCAGUGACGAAUAUUAGUCAAUGGAGGAAACUCUGAACCAGCCGAGGCGCGUGAAGGAGGAAUGUCCUAGGGAAUGUCAGCUUUUUGAGCGAAAGAGUAAGGACUUCCACAUGAUGGGAGUUUGAAAGUAGCUUGAGAAUAAGUAUCGGCUAACUCCGUG